rnacentral:rRNA from 1 species
UACGUAGGGUCCGAGCGUUGUCCGGAAUUAUUGGGCGUAAAGGGCUCGUAGGCGGCUUGUCGCGUCGGGAGUGAAAACACCGGGCUUAACUCGGUGCUUGCUUUCGAUACGGGCAGACUGGAGGCAUGCAGGGGAGAACGGAAUUCCUGGUGUAGCGGUGAAAUGCGCAGAUAUCGGGAGGAACACCUGUGGCGAAGGCGACCCCCUGGUUGGAUACUGACGCUGAGACGCGAAAGCGUGGGGAGCAAACAGG